rnacentral:rRNA from 1 species
UACGGAGGGUGCAAGCGUUAUCCGGAUUCACUGGGUUUAAAGGGUGCGUAGGCGGGUUGGUAAGUCCGUGGUGAAAUCCCCAAGCUUAACUUGGGAACUGCCGUGGAUACUAUCAAUCUUGAAUAUCGUGGAGGUAAGCGGAAUUUCCGGUGUAGCGGUGAAAUGCGUAGAUAUCGGAAGGAACAUCAGUGGCGAAAGCGGCUUCCUGGACCAGCACCGACGUUCAGGCACGAAAGCGUGGGGAGCAAACAGG